rnacentral:rRNA from 1 species
UACGUAGGAUGCAAGCGUUGUCCGGAAUUAUUGGGCGUAAAGAGCGCGCAGGCGGUAUAACAAGUCAGAUGUGAAAGAGGCCGGCUUAACCGGCAAGGGUCAUUUGAAACUGUCAGACUAGAGUGCAGCAGAGGAUAGUGGAAUUCCCGGUGUAGUGGUGAAAUGCGUAGAUAUCGGGAGGAACACCAGUGGCGAAGGCGACUAUCUGGGCUGCAACUGACGCUGAGGCGCGAAGGCUAGGGUAGCAAACAGG